AAUGAAGUGCCUGAUUAAAGGAUUAUUGUGAUAGAAUAAAUAAUGUAAAAAUAUUACCUUCAUUA
rnacentral:tRNA from 1 species